rnacentral:lncRNA from 1 species
CCCCCCCCCGCCCUUCGCGCGGGUGGCGGUAGUCAGUAACAAGUUGAGCAAAGCCCUGGCAGCUUUUUAUACACCAGGGGAGGCCCACCCUUCCCCAACAGCACAGUCCCACUUUGGUGUGUUCACAGAGGAUCCUCUCCUGCCUAGAGUUCCUGGGGAUGUGCAGAGCAGCACUUGGGAAACACAGCGCUGCAUCUUUGCCAUUUAAGGAAGGCUUGGUGAACCUUCUGCAUAGUAAGUCUGAAAUUCAAGUGCAUGAGUAAUCCAGCUGAAUUCUCUGUAGCUACUCGUGUGCCUAAAGAUCAGCAAGGGUUUAAGCGUGUUCCUGAACCAUAAUCCUAAUUUGCUUUGAAUGCAGACAGAUGAGGAAGAAACAGUGGGCAAAAGGGUUAAUGUUAUCUGGAGAGAAGUCUGGCUGCCUUUCUUCAGAAACAGCUCUGGCCUGCAGAAUGGCAGUACCCUCACUGCAAUAGGCAUCCUCAUACAGUGCAGGAGAUCACCUUGUGCAGUGCAGCAGAUAAGCCAUAGACCUCUAACAAUGGCAUUAGGCGCACCUCUGUGCUACUGUAGGGAUGAGGGCAGCUUUCUUGGUAUGUAACUCUUCUUUCAGAAUAGACAAUUGGGAUUGAGGCCGUAGCAGCAGCUGAGUUGAAAACAAUACAAGCCUUUCUGAGGCAUUCCACCCACCCAGGUGUCUGAAGUGUCUGGUGAAAGGAUGGCAGCUCAUGAAGCGCUUUGCUCCUUGUUUCGUUGCUUGGCACAGCGUGUUUUACUCUGCUGAGUGGGGGAGUGCUGUGAAGUCGGGGUGUGAGUGCAUGUGGAGGCUGUGGUUAUCAGUAGAGAGGUGGAAAAGGGAAGGAGCUGUGAGAGCAGAGCUCGCUUCCUUACUGCACACAGGGGUCCUUGGAGAGCAUCUUUGUGAGUUAUUCUGAUCUCAUGCAGAAUAACUUAUAAGUACUCAUUGUACUUAUGGCAUACAUAUGUUGGUUUGUGAUCCCCGCCCCCUGCCUUUAAUUUAUGAGUAGGUAUGGGUUGUCAUCUCUUCUUUACACUGCCUUGUAUAUUGCUUUACUGCCAUGUACCUUGGAGUGAAAAAGGGAGGAUUCAUGCUCCAAGAUGUUGCAAUGGCUGCCUGCACAGGUCAUGCCCUACCUUGGAGUGUGAGGCCACUCAUAGGAGUGUCAUAUCCAUACCCGCACCACUGAGUUCCCUGCAUGCAGUAGCCCAUGCUUCUGGUCUGUGCGCACCCCCUUUUUUUUAUCUGCCUGGGGUGGUGUUUUAGCUCUCAGAUCAUGCUGUCAUGGCUAAGAAGUUCUCACAGAAGUGAUCUGCUGGCUCUAGGUUUGUUUUCAGGGCUGCUCCCCACACCUUGAAGGUGGACUGCAGGGAAGCAGGAACAACCUUAUGGGAUUUUUUUUUUUUCCAACAUCUCUUGAUAAAUUUCUCAUGUCUCAGAUGGUUUGAUUCAUACCUGGUUAAGGGUGUGUGCCCUCAUUCAUGGGUGGAACUGGAUGUACAAAGCUGGCUGUGUAUAUCAGGAAGUCCCACGUUGGAUCCAUCUGGUCUAAUUCCAGCUGUUGUGGUGGAAGCACCUUUUAGGACAGGAAUAUUCUGUGUGUUUUAGCUGUGCACGUUCUACUGGAGGUGUAACGGAGAUGAUUCCAAACAUGUUUGAUCUCCAGAGCAAGACAAGGCCUAUCCAUCUCAUGAAUGGCAUGAGUAAUUCUGGGCACUGUGUUGCUAUGUUUGAGGACUCCUGCUCACCCUUCUCUUUGUUUUGCUUCCCUAUUCUACCGACACUGUUGUUUUGUAUCUCUAACUAUAAACUGUAGACUCUUGGUUGUUACAGUAUCUGGAGGAGGGCAGUGAGCUCUCCAAGCUGUGUGUGUUGGAAGUCCCAGGAACACGAGUGUAGGUUGUGCCUGCAGUGGGGUCUGCUGAGCUCCAGCCCUGGGAGCACUCUCACCCAGAGAGUGCUGGUAGGAGGGCAGAGAGUUUGACAGAGGGACAGAGUUUGGUUCUGGGGGAAGAUGAAAAGGAUGUCAGAAGUGUGUGUUAGCAGAAUGUGACUAAGAUGGUGACCUGAUAAGUAUUGAAAUGUAUCUGCGGUGGAAAGGAGAGCAGCAGCUUCUGGCAGAGCAGAGCUGUAUGUCUAGGACUUGCAGUGUGGUGCAUAGCAAUUCUGAGUCAUGUAAGUCUAAUUCUAAGUCACUUAAGGCCCUGGUGGUUGUGCUAUUGCAGGCAAUUAGCGUAUGUAAUUCUUAUCACGAAGUUGCUUGGGUCCAUUUAGAACAUACUUGCGCUCUUUGCUAUCAUCCUGGGGAGCUCAGCUCCUGCAGUGCUCUUUAUGGUGGCCCCUGAGCUGUGCUCACUCCUCUGUCUCAUUCCUCAGCACUUAGUCACUGGAGGCCUUUGUGGGAGGGAGGGACACCCAAGAGUAAUGUGUAACCUGAUGCAGAGUCCCCUGCCAGCAGGAAUUUGGGUGGCUCAUCAGCCUCAGCGUGGCUUCUUGGAGCCUGCAGGAGACCUGCUGGCUGAGAGCACUCAAGGCAGCACCUCGUGCCUCCAUCCUCGCUUCAGACGGUGAAAUCUGGCAGGGGAGAUAAGGCCACAUGUGCAAAUACAGAAUGUGGGUUUAGGUCUCGAUCCAGCAUUCACGUCCAUAAAUAAGCCAGUUCCUUCCUUAUGAUAACUUUUGUGUGCACUUCACAAACACAAACCAGCUAAUCACAGCAGAUGUUUGGCAGCAUCCUGAGCUCAUGAGGAAGUUAAAUAGCAUUGCACUUUGCUAGAGAGAUGCCUGGGAUCCAAGCAACACCUGUUAGAGGAGCACUUCUGAGCUGGGACACGUCCAUGGCAGUGUGGGCUCAGCUUUGCAUAGCACUGUCGGGCUGUACCAACCACAGCAGAACUUCCUUCAGUUUUUUGAGGGGGAAGGUGGGAUUCAGACCUGGAUAUGCAUGUACACACUUGGUUAAAACCCAAUUAAAAGGAGGUAGCAGCGGAUUUUGUUUGCUGCCUUGCCUUUUUCCAAAAACUCCCUGCUGCUUUGAUUUUCCCUAUUUUUUUAAGGGGAGUUUGGGUGUUUGGCUAAUUGUUUUCAAAGCGUAUGAAGCUGUGGCACAUCACAGAAAAGCAAGGAAUAAGGAGGGCUCUGUAAGUCAGUGUAGCCUCCAAGAUCCGUACCCAUCUUCUUAAUAAAAUUCCCUGCACAAGGGAAAAAGAAUCGUCCUCGUGGUGUGUGGAUUGUUGGUGCCCCAUCUGCAAAGAACAACCUGACCUAAAGCAAGUUCCUGCUGCAACUGGAUUUUUUUAUUUGGUGGGUGCUUAGGAAGAUGAUUGGGAUGCUUUAGAUGUUCGGCUUUCGUGUUCAAAAAGGGCCAAGGAUUGUACUUGUUUCUCCUGGCUUCUAUUUUGUGGUGAUUUUUGCCCCGAGUUUCAGGCAGGAUUAUGAGGCUGCUGAGUGGAGUGUGAGGCAGCAGUGGGAUAAUUCUGAGUUACUGAUAAAUCAAGGACUUUUUGUAGGUGUUUCCUCACCCAGAUCUUUGCCGUUCUCUGCUAAAUAUGAACCACAGCUCGGGAUAUCAGCUUUUGCUGUUCAGCAUCCCAUGGAGAAGCCUCCAGUGUUUUCUGGUAGCAUGGUGGCUGUGUACUGCUGAUCUCCAUCAUCAUUCUGAACCUGCUCCUGCUGCUCCCUCUUUGCCAGGUGCGUGCAUCUGACUUGCUCUGUGCUUUCUGCUGCCACCACUGCCUGGCCUUUUGGUCUGCAUUAGUUUAAUUGACUGAGGCACUUGCAGGAGAAGCUAUUCAUUCCCCUGGUAACUGUACUUGACAAUCAGAUGUUAUUCUUGGGGUGAAGGACUGGUACGAAUUUGUUUUCUUUGGCUGCAGAUCCAUAGCCCCUAAUAGUUUCUCACUAGUAUGAGCCGAGGUUGACUUGGUUUGCCACUAAUUAAAAGCCAAAAGGAUAUGUGGUCCUCUCUGCAAUAAUUGCCCUCCGUGGGAAAUGGGAGGGAGCUCUGCUUGCUUCCCACUUAUUUCAGGCCCCUCCAUUUCACCAUUUUACUCACACCAGUCAUGAUGCAUGUGGAGCUCAUUCCAUUGACUGAAGGAGGGUCAGGUCUUGCUGUCAGAGCAGCCAGGAGUUUGUGCUCGAAUCCUUUCUCUGCUGAAAGUUGCUUCUGGAUGAAAGGAAAAAUAGGGAAAGAGCGUGGAGCUGUUAAAAAUGUUAUGAAACCUCAGAGCAACUUUUUUU